UACAGAGACUGCAAGCGUUAUUCGGAUUCACUAGGCGUAAAGGGUGCGCAGGCGGCCAGGUGUGUCAGGUGUGAAAGCCCGGAGCUUAACUCCGGAAUUGCGCCUGAAACUACUUGGCUAGAGCAUUGGAGAGGGUAGCGGAAUUCACGGUGUAGCAGUGAAAUGCGUAGAUAUCGUGAGGAACACCAGAGGCGAAGGCGGCUACCUGGACAAUUGCUGACGCUCAGGCACGAAAGCGUGGGGAGCAAACGGG
rnacentral:rRNA from 1 species